UGGGGAAUAUUGGACAAUGGGCGAAAGCCUGAUCCAGCCACGCCGCGUGAGUGACGAAGGCCUUCGGGUUGUAAAGCUCUGUGGGAAGGGACGAAAAAGCUUAGUUCAAAUAGGGCUAGGUGUUGACGGUACCUUCUUAGCAAGCACCGGCUAACUCUGUGCCAGCAGCCGCGGUAAUACAGAGGGUGCAAACGUUGCUCGGAAUUACUGGGCGUAAAGCGCGUGUAGGCGGGCAGUCAAGUCGGGUGUGAAAUCCCUGGGCUCAACCCAGGAACUGCAUCCGAAACUGAUUGCCUUGAGUACUGGAGAGGGAAGCGGAAUUCCUGGUGUAGAGGUGAAAUUCGUAGAUAUCAGGAGGAACACCGGUGGCGAAGGCGGCUUCCUGGACAGUAACUGACGCUGAGACGCGAAAGCGUGGGGAGCAAACAGGAUUAGAUACCCCCGUAGUCC
rnacentral:rRNA from 1 species